CACGUAGGGCGCAAGCGUUGUCCGGAAUUAUUGGGCGUAAAGAGCUCGUAGGCGGACUGUCACGUCUGCUGUAGAAAGCUGGGCUUAACCCUGGCCUUGCAGUGGAUACGGGCAGACUAGAGGUAGGUAGGGAGAAUGGAAUUCCCGGUGUAGCGGUGAAAUGCGCAGAUAUCGGGAGGAACACCGGUGGCGAAGGCGGUUCUCUGGGCCUUACCUGACGCUGAGGAGCGAAGCGUGGG
rnacentral:rRNA from 1 species